UGCGGCCCUUGGUGGCUUGCCAAUACCCAGUAAGCGGCCCUCCGCCUGAAAUAAUUGCUCACCCCUGAUCUAGAGUAUGUGGCCACAGGAA